rnacentral:rRNA from 1 species
UACGGGGGGAGCAAGCGUUGUUCGGAUUUACUGGGCGUAAAGGGCGCGUAGGCGGUCGUGACAAGUCACUUGUGAAAUCUCCGGGCUUAACUCGGAACGGUCAAGUGAUACUGUCGGACUAGAAUACAGAAGGGGCAACUGGAAUUCUCGGUGUAGCGGUGAAAUGCGCAGAUAUCGAGAGGAACACCUGCGGCGAAGGCGGGUUGCUGGGCUGAUACUGACGCUGAGGCGCGAAAGCCAGGGGAGCGAACGGG